GAUGAACGCUAGCGGCAGGCCUAAUACAUGCAAGUCGAACGGUAACAUGAGUAGCAAUACUUGAUGACGAGUGGCGCACGGGUGCGUAACGCGUAUGCAAUCUACCUUUAACCGGUGAAUAGCUCGAAGAAAAUCGGAUUCAUACUCCAUAGUAUGUUUGAGUGGCAUCACUUAUACAUUAAAGUUCCGACAGUUAAAGAUGAGCAUGCGUGACAUUAGCUAGUUGGUAAGGUAACGGGUUACCAAGGUAACGAUGUCUAGGGGAUCUGAGAGGAUUAAACCCCACACGGGUACUGGGACAGAGACCACACUCAGACAGGAGGCAGAAGUAAAGAAUAUUAGACAAUGGUGGCAACACUGAUCCAGCCAAGCCGCGUGAAGGAUGAAGGCCCUAUGGGUUGUAAACUUCUUGUGUACGGGAAAAAACCUUCUUACGUGUAAGAAGCUGAUUGUACUGUAAGAAUAAGGAUCGGCUAACUCCGUGCCAGCAGCCGCUGUAA
rnacentral:rRNA from 1 species